GUUCUCUUUAUCAUAACAGUCUGAUUUAAUGCCAGCCACAGUAGCACAUUGAGGUUAUUUAGGGAAAGCAUCUGAGACCAAGUUGAAGAGCUCCUUUUGGAGACUCGGGACAGCAUUGGUGGUACAUGGAUGGAAAGGUGCCGCUGAAGCGCUCCCAGCCAUUGAAGGAACGCAACAAGGCUUCCCCGCUCCUUCAUUUCUUUUCCAUGCAGACUACUGCACGUCAAGCGCGCAGCCUUGUAUGGGGAGGGCACUUAGGAGAUGGGAGGGCAGGGUGGGCUUCGAUUUCACCCGAUGCGUCUCUUGCUGAAAUCACCCCUCUGCUUGUUUGAGUCCCAAGGUUGUCCCACCUCCAUGGAAGAACAUUUGAUCGGCUGCAAGCGUCAAAGAAAAGCGUCCAACUGAUUGCAGGAAGGCUUGUAAAUGCAACACGAGGGAGGGGAGGCAGAUUCUAAAGAUCUUGAUGGCGCGUCCAGCGACUCCUAGGCGUGGAAAGGUGCACAAGUGGGAAGAGAUCGAAGAGGAGAUGGAUGGAGUGGAGAGAAGAGUGCCUGAAGCGCCGAGACUCCUGCUUUAAAUUUCCCCAAAAGAUUCUGGAUCUCAUUUGUUGCCCCCAUCUGGUGAGAAAAUUAACUGCGUCUCAUUCGAAAAAUAGGCGGACAUGCCAUAAAGGAAGACUGAGGAGUAUGAGGCAGACAGGAAGAGGAAACACGGACAUUAUCGGAGUCGCCAAUGAACACCAGGAAGUCGGAUUGAUGGAAGAGGUCGAAAACGUUCAUCAGACACUGAACACUAAAUUAAUGCAUCACAAACAAAUGGCAUGACAAUUAUGCGAGAAAUUGGACACUUUACAAAAGGGACAAAACAACAAGACAUGGAAAAGAUGCCACGCAAUAGGACACAAACCAUAAGUGCGAAGCAAUACAGCCAAGCUUAGUCCCGUGAUAGCAUAUGGGUUCACAGCUGCGUCCAGAGUGAAAGAACAACUACAUUUAAAAUGAUAUUGGGAAUGUGCUACAUGAAGGGAAUAUAGAAAUCAAAGAUUCAUCCUGUCGGAUGUGCAAUUAACAAAAUUAGUGGUGAAUGUAUGUAACCCAAAAGGUUUGUCAUGAUUGUCAUGUCUCGUCCAGUACAGAAUCGUACCAAUUCCCAAAGUGGGAGCAUCAAUCCACAGUCUAGUUACAACAAUCACGGGAAUUAAUGGGACACUACCAAGGAAACUCCCGGAAGAUGUCACCAUUGUCUUCUUUUCUUUUGCUGAAUUACCCAAGUGUAGCCGUGGUCAAUUCAAACAGAUUAUAGGGCGUUGCUCGGACUUUAUGACCUAUCUUCUGCUCCUCUAUGACCUAUCAACUGGAAAUCAGCUGCCAACACUGAUUGAAGCUAAAAGUGUAGGGUAAAAGUGAAUUAAUUUUCUUAGAUGUAGUUUCUCAGCCUCAUUAGGUCGACCUUUACAGUCAUCUGUCGUUGAAGGUGAAGGAAGUAGAGUUGGGUCCAGAGGAGGCCUUGGGACCUUCUUGCAGUGUGAUGUGUGAACCCAUGAAGCUCUUUCAGUGACCUUCACUGCAGUGUUGGUUAUGUGAACUUGGAAAGGCCACAACCAGCCCGAUGUCACCGGGUUGUCAUGGAGGGGUUCGUUGACCAUCCCCGAACGAUUUGUAUAUCCAUCGGCAGAUCUAGCUUUGGUAGACAUAAAUGGAGUGCCUGCAUAAAUAAUCUCAAAAAAUAGGGGGCAGACACUUCCUCAUAUAUAUCACUAUAUAUCUAAUUGAAAUAACUUCUCUGUAUCUAUUCAGUGCCCCUCAUACAGCCUCGAGUUCUGCUCAUGACAAGUAUCAGCUACUAAUUCAAAUUAGAGCACUGUGUUCCCUUUAAAAGAUACGGUUGACAAGUCUUGUAUUUAUUUUUUUUUAAUUUUACCAUACAUUUUAAAGAAAUCAUUCAUAUGUUCUAAUUUAUACUAAUACAUAACAUAGUUGGUUACACAUCACCACCAAGCUUGUACCUUGGAACUCACUGUCUUGGAAAGAGAUGUCAUCAAUCAAACAGAUGUAAUCAAUCAAACAGUCACACACACUCACACACACACUCAUCAUGUGAUUCACUGAAUAAAAAGAAGCUGCAAGGGGACACAAGUUGGAGUUGGUUGGAAGCAGGGAGAAGUCCUGUCGCUCCCCUUGCAGCAAGUAAAACUUGAAGCCUUGUCUGUUCACCUUCUUUUAAAAGAGAGUCAAGCUUUUUAACCCUGACAUUUGGUCCUUCGAGCCGGAUCCCUAACACACCACCGUCCAUCGAGGAGGGAGAAGACACACCAAAGUCUGUCGACAGCCAGGAGCAUUGAGUUGUUCCUGAAGAAAAGCCCUGGUGGGACGUGAAUUCGUGGCCAGGCCGGUGCCAGAGUCCAAUCUCCCCUCAGUGGACGAAGGUUGACGGGAUCACGAAGAGCUGGCGUCCAGACAACGCGUGAACCGGUGCUGUGUCCAUUGGUGAUUGUGUCCUGAGAAAAGUCAUCAGGAGGAAGUGUUGGUCCUCACCUCGCUGGGAUGGUCCACUCCCACGGUGAUAAAGAUAGCAGAACGUCCCACAUGGAUACACUUGUCCCACUGCAAGCCUGUGGCUCCCUUUUCAUUCAACGACGAGUAGUGGUGGAAGUCCGGCUACAAAGGGUGGGGUAGCAAUAGGCUGCCCUGGUCUUAAACCGGUGAAGAAUUCAGCUGAUCUGCGCUUCAGCAUGUUAGAUAAAGGAGAGCCACCAUUGGGACUGCUGACCUUCGUGCUGUUCGGAGCAUGGCUCCUCCGCACUGGCCAGUCUCGGACUGUACGUGUUUAUCACUGGAUCUAUGGACAUGAAUCAUCAUGGAGCAAAGACAAUCCCACCUCUCCAAUGGGCGCCAACACCUGGUACUCUUAUGUGAAUAUGGUGUCCCUCUGUGGACAACCAAUGACAGAUCAACAAUUCUGGUGAAACUGGAACUACUCAGAUGCCCCGCCAUGAAAAGAAGUCUGCAGCAGCGAUGAGUCCGACAAUGCCAGCAAUUCCACCUGCUGGUCCCAGACGUCAUGCUAGGCCAGGAGAGGAUGCAGAGAGAAACCAUCUGAGGUCUUCAGGACGGACCUGAUCACCACCAUGAAGGUGCAUGACUCAUACUAGCUCAACGCAGAGGAUUACUAUGUCCUGGCCGAUCCAUAGAAGCAGAAGCGAGAAAAAGGGUAUCCACAUGCCUGUUACCCCACAGUCCAUCCUGGAGCCCGUAGCCCGGGUGCUAACUGACAAAAUCAAGGAUGUCAUGUUCAUCAGGCCCAAUAAGAUGAUCCGCACAUCUGCCACCCUGGUCCUCAGUUAUGUGGACAUCAGGACUUUGGCGGAGGGCAUGUGUCACUACGACCUCAACGAGGAAGACAUCACCUGGCUGCAGGUCAUCAAUGAGGAGUUUGCAAGGUUGGCCCUUCUACCAAUGGAUGAAUUCGCCACGGAGUGCUGAGCACCAUUGUCAUAGCAACAUGACACUCACUACCAAGACACAGUAGGGCCUUGGCAUCGAGUACAACGAGAAUGUAGUGUGCGACGUGCCAGUUCCCCAACGGAGAGGAAGACAACGAGAUGGUAUUUUGCAACAAGUGCAAUAUCUGCGUCCACCAGGUAUCCUGCCAAAGUGCCAGUUGUGCCCGAAAACGUUGGAGUUGGUUGGAAGCAGGGAGAAGUCCUGUCGCUCCCCUUGCAGCAAGUAAAACUUGAAGCCUUGUCUGUUCGCCUUCUUUUAAAAGAGAGUCAAGCUUUUUAAACCUGACAACAUCCAUCCCACAUUACAACAAACAAUUCCAAAACAACAACAAACAAUUCCAGAUAACCCCCCCCCCUUUCCUUUGAUAAAAUGACACAUAAUCCCAUCCAUACUCACUUCAGCAAAAUAACAAUUUUUUUAAGCCUGUUCCUCAGAACUGUGAGGGCAAUGCACUGGCCAGUUGGACGCUGUGCCUUCUCUACAAACACAUUUAAUGUAUUUAGAAGCAAAACACGAACAUGACUUUACAGUACCUUUGACAAACAGGCUUGAGCAAAAGAAAAAAGGUGUGUAAAAUUCACAAUUCUUGAACUUUGUGUAUUUUCACAAAAGCAUGAUUUGAAAACACCUGGGAACUGUUCUUAAGAAGGAUGCAAACACGGCAAAUAAACACUAUUUGGACACCCAAGAACCCCAGUAAACUUAAUUAGAAAUGCCAUGUUAUUGUAUUCUUGGGAAAUAAGACUUUUUUUUAAGAUCCAGCAAUCAUAUUUAUAGUUAUUUUAACAGAAUAAACUUGGCCGUUUUUUGCUUUCCAAGUAAUUUCUCCCUUUUUUAGCACUUCAUCACAGUGGAUGCAGUCUAUCCUCAUGUGCAUAUUUUAUUGAUGACAUUAUUGUUUGACGAAAACAUGUCAAUAUCCCGGAAAAAAUGUUUGUUUAUAGCCACAUUUUUCCACCUAUAAACCUGAAUUUCUUGGCUAGCCUAGACUGCAAUAACCUCCUCCCCCUCCUCCCUCAUCUCCUGGAUCAAAGACAGACUUAUAAUGCUGUGUGCAAGUGUACACCAUAUAAUUUGCCUUAGGCAAAAAGACCACUGUGACAACUAUGUAGUAAUAUGAAUGAUGCUCUAAUUGAUUUUACUCUCUGAAUGUUAAAAUAUGCUGUGUUUACCACAUGAUUAAAAAGCCAAAAAUCUA